UACAGAGGUGGCAAGCGUUGUUCGGCUUCAUUGGGCGUAAAGGGUGUGUAGGUGGCGCGCUAAGUCGGGUGUGAAAUUUCGGAGCUUAACUCCGAAACUGCAUUCGAUACUGCCGUGCUUGAGGACUGGAGAGGAGACUGGAAUUUACGGUGUAGCGGUGAAAUGCGCAGAUAUCAGGAAGAACACCCGUGGCGAAGGCGGCUUUCUGGGACGGUACUGACGCUGAGACGCGAAAGCGUGGGGAGCGAACAGG
rnacentral:rRNA from 1 species